rnacentral:misc_RNA from 1 species
GCUCCGUAGGUGAACCUGCGGAGGGAUCAUUACAAGUGACCCCGGUCUAACCACCGGGAUGUUCAUAACCCUUUGUUGUCCGACUCUGUUGCCUCCGGGGCGACCCUGCCUUCGGGCGGGGGCUCCGGGUGGACACUUCAAACUCUUGCGUAACUUUGCAGUCUGAGUAAACUUAAUUAAUAAAUUAAAACUUUUAACAACGGAUCUCUUGGUUCUG